UCCUCGGUAGUAUAGUGGUCAGUAUCCCCGCCUGUCACGCGGGAGACCUGGGUUCAAUUCCCGGCCGGGGAG
rnacentral:tRNA from 1 species